AUGGCAGUUCCUGGAGCCUUCCGGUCACUUACAAUUCAAACAAAAGAAACACCAAAAGCUAGCUCGUGUGUCAUGGGCUCCUUUUCUCUGUCUCGGCACCAGAAGGUUCUAGAAACCGUUUGCAGACUCUCCUCAGGGACUCAGAAGGUCAGGGGGAGAGAAGGGUGGAGAGAAAUUGGGUUGCAUGUAUCGGUAGUGAGAGUGGAGAUCCUGAGGAAUAUAUCUGCUGCUUCUGCCGGUCUCUCUCCCUCAGUCAUCAAGCGCCGUCGCCGAGCACUUCUCAAACGGUCCCGUACGCACACGCACACACACAAACACACACGCCAGGAGAGUCUUGUUAACAAGCCCGUGGUCCUGCGUUUCCAGCAUGCUCACGGGACCCUAAUGCUGCUGAUCUGGAGACCUCGCUUUGAGCAGCGAGACUGCGGGUGGCGUUCUGAACCUGACGGUCCGUGGGCUAUUGUUCCGUAUAGGAUGCCGGGACGGCUGGGUAGCCAUCCAGAAAAAGUAACGUCAGACUUACACUCCCAAUUCCUGUACUAGGACGGAUACGAAGAAGUGUGAUCUGUGCUCGAGGUGGAAAUGCAAAAUGAUGAACAAUUGAAAGGACAACGGGCAAAGAAUAGAGACACUCAGUAACUUGACCAAACUCACAAGAAGCCGGUGCGUGAACCGGAAUGAGAAACCAUUAAUUUGCAAUGGGAAAUACUCCUUUGCGAUGACAGAACACGCAUGUCUGCCAUCCCAGGCACCUCGCUGCACAGAUCAAGAUGCCCGUGACGUUCCGUGAGGGAGCCCGGUGGGGCGCCUGGCUGGCUCCUUCAGAAGAGCAUGGGACUCUCGAUGAUCUCAGGGUCGUGAGUUCAGACCCCAUGUUGGGCAUGGAGCCUACUUUAAAUAAAUAAAUAAAUAAAUAAAUAAAUAAAUAAAUA
rnacentral:lncRNA from 1 species